rnacentral:rRNA from 1 species
UACGUAGGAGGCGAGCGUUGUCCGGAAUUACUGGGCGUAAAGCGCAUGUAGGCGGCCAAGCAGGUCGGAUGUGAAAUCCCUCGGCUCAACCAAGGAAGUGCAUUCGAAACCGCAUGGCUCGAGUCCCGGAGAGGAAGGUGGAAUUCUCGGUGUAGAGGUGAAAUUCGUAGAUAUCGAGAGGAACACCGGUGGCGAAAGCGGCCUUCUGGACGAGGACUGACGCUGAGAUGCGAAAGCGUGGGGAGCAAACAGG